GGCCCAAAUGUAAAGUAGGGUAGAUUAGAAGGAUCAUCUGACCCUACUAAUCUACUCUACUUCGAGUUUGGGCCC
rfam:Haemonchus contortus, ISE/inbred ISE, WGS project CAVP01000000 data, contig: Hcontortus_20031